rnacentral:rRNA from 1 species
UGCCAGCAGCCGCGGUAAUACGGAGGGGGUUAGCGUUGUUCGGAAUUACUGGGCGUAAAGCGCGCGUAGGCGGAUUGGAAAGUUAGAGGUGAAAUCCCUCGGCUCAACCGAGGAACUGCAUUUGAAACUGCCUGGCUUGAGUACGGGAGGGGAGAGCGGAAUUCCCAGUGUAGAGGUGAAAUUCGUAGAUAUUGGGAGGAACACCAGCGGCGAAGGCGGCUCUCUGGACCGAUACUGACGCUGAGGCGCGAAAGCGUGGGGAGCAAACAGGAUUAGAUA